rnacentral:tRNA from 1 species
GGGCUAUUGGCGCAGGCAGGUAGCGCAGCAGGCUCUUAACCUGACAUUUAUGAGAGCAUCUCUCGUAAAAAGGAGGGUCGGGGGUUCGAAUCCCUCAUAGCCCG